GAUGGACGCUGGCGGCGUGCCUAAUACAUGCAAGUCGAACGCAUUGUGGUUGAAAUGAUAUGAAGAACUUGUUCAGAUUUGAUUUUCAACAUUGCAAUGAGUGGCGAACGGGUGAGUAACACGUGGGAAACCUACCUCUUAGCAGGGGAUAACAUUUGGAAACAAAUGCUAAUACCGUAUAAUAAUUAAAACCGCAUGGUUUUAGUUUAAAAGAUGGUCUUGCUAUCACUAAGAGAUGGUCCCGCGGUGUAUUAGUUAGUUGGUGAGGUAAUGGCUCACCAAGACAAUGAUACAUAGCCGAGUUGAGAGACUGACCGGCCACAAUGGGACUGAGACACGGCCCAUACUCCUACGGGAGGCAGCAGUAGGGAAUCUUCCACAAUGGACGAAAGUCUGAUGGAGCAACGCCGCGUGUGUGAUGAAGGGUUUCGGCUCGUAAAACACUGUUGUAAGAGAAGAAUGACAUUGAGAGUAACUGUUCAAUGUGUGACGGUAU
rnacentral:rRNA from 1 species